CGCACAGUGGCUUAGUGGUUAGCGUUCACCUCACACCUCCAGGGUCCGGGGUUCGAUUCCUGCCGGGGCCA